rnacentral:rRNA from 1 species
AAGCGGGGAUACAAAUAUAAGACGAGAAGACCCCAUGGAGCUUUAAACCCAACAGCACCCGUUUAUUUUCAUCCUCACAUAAGUUAGGUUAUGCCUGUUUGGUUUUAGGUUGGGGUGACCACGGAGUAUAAAACAACCUCCAUGAAAAAAGGACCAAAAAUCCUUAUUAGAGAAAGACAUUUCUAAAAUUAAUAAAUUAAUUUUUAAUGAUCCGAUAUUCGAUCAACGAACCAAGUUACCCUGGGGAUAACAGCGCAAUCCACUUCAAGAGCUCCUAUCGACAAGUGGGUUUACGACCUCNAUGUUGGAUCAGGGUAUCCUAGUGGUGCAGCAGCUACUAACGGUUCGUUUGUUCAACGAUUAAAACCCU